ACGGCCUACGGGAGGCAGCAGUAGGGAAUAUUGCUCAAUGGGGGAAACCCCGAAGCAGCAACGCCGCGUGGAGGAUGAAGGUUUUCGGAUUGUAAACUCUUUUUGUUAGAGAAGAUAAUGACGGUAUCUAACGAAUAAGCACCGGCUAACUCCGUGCCAGCAGCCGCGGUAAUACGGAGGGUGCAAGCGUUACUCGGAAUCACUGGGCGUAAAGAGCGCGUAGGCGGGAUAGCAAGUUAGAUGUGAAAUCCUAUGGCUUAACCA
rnacentral:rRNA from 1 species